GGGUCCAUAGCUCAUUUGGUAGAGCAUCUGUUUUGCACACAGAAGGCGGUCGGUUCGAAACCGACUGGAUCCACCA
rnacentral:tRNA from 1 species